GCCAGGCGUGAUGGCUCAUGCCUGUAAUCCCAGCACUUUGGGAGGCUGAGGCAGGAGGAUUGCUUGAGCCCAGGAGGUAAAAAUUAGCCUGGGCAACAUAGCGAAAACCUGUCUCUA
rfam:Gorilla gorilla gorilla genomic chromosome, chr5, whole genome shotgun sequence